rnacentral:rRNA from 1 species
CGCGUAGGUGGCCUGAUAAGGGUGUGGUGAAAGUCCGGGGCUCAACCCCGGAUCGGCCGUGCCGACUGUUAGGCCAGAGUACUGUAGGGGCAGGCGGAAUUCCGGGUGUAGCGGUGGAAUGCGUAGAGAUCCGGAGGAAGACCGGUGGCGAAGGCGGCCUGCUGGGCAGUUACUGACACUGAGGCGCGACAGCGUGGGGAGCAAACA